UCCCCCACAUUGGUACUGAGACACGGACCAAACUCCUACGGGAGGCAGCAGUGAGGAAUAUUGGUCAAUGGGCGUAAGCCUGAACCAGCCAAGUCGCGUGAGGGAUGAAGGUUCUAUGGAUCGUAAACCUCUUUUAUAAGGGAAUAAAGUGCGGGACGUGUCCCGUUUUGUAUGUACCUUAUGAAUAAGGAUCGGCUAACUCCGUGCCAGCAGCCGCGGUAAUACGGAGGAUCCGAGCGUUAUCCGGAUUUAUUGGGUUUAAAGGGUGCGUAGGCGGCCUUUUAAGUCAGCGGUGAAAGUCUGUGGCUCAACCAUAGAAUUGCCGUUGAAACUGGGGGGCUUGAGUAUGUUUGAGGCAGGCGGAAUGCGUGGUGUAGCGGUGAAAUGCUUAGAUAUCACGCAGAACCCCGAUUGCGAAGGCAGCCUGCCAAGCCAUGACUGACGCUGAUGCACGAAAGCGUGGGGA
rnacentral:rRNA from 1 species